UACGAAGGGUGCAAACGUUGCUCGGAAUUAUUGGGCGUAAAGCGCGUGUAGGCGGCUUGGCAAGUCGGGUGUGAAAGCCCUCAGCUCAACUGAGGAAGUGCGCCCGAAACUGCUGAGCUCGAGUGCCGGAGAGGGUGGCGGAAUUCCCCAAGUAGAGGUGAAAUUCGUAGAGAUGGGGAGGAACACCGGUGGCGAAGGCGGCCACCUGGACGGUGACUGACGCUGAGACGCGAAAGCGUGGGUAGCAAACAGG
rnacentral:rRNA from 1 species